GGAUACCUUUUGAGUAGAAAUUUAAAAAAAAUUUUAUCCAGAAUCUAAACAUCUUCAUGUUGUGUUUUAAUAUUCAGACACCUCUCAUCCUGAUCUGGGUUUAGAAGCUUGAUUGGGAAAGGCCUUUAGAGUGGCAUUUAGGACGUGGUGUUCUUUACAAAGAAAGCUGCCUAUUUUUCUUUUCUCCAGGGGAACUGCCGUGUAGGACAGGCACAAAGCUGGGAACAUAACCAAGGGCAGAAAAAAAUUCACCCCCGUGUUCUAUUUGUCAAACUGACCUGCGGGUCACAACCUGAGAGUUUAUGGAUCUGUGAGGCCUUGUCUCUGCAUAAGCGUGUUUUCUGGACUUUGGCUGAAGCUAAAUUCCUCACUUCUGAAAGAGGAGUGGGUGUGGACUUCCAGCAGGAAUAGCCAGUGGGAAGGAAGUAAUAUUCAUUAAGAGUGUCUCAUGCAAGCAGUGCGGGGCUAAGCAUGCUCAGUGUAAAUUCUCCUGUAGCCUGUCAAGCUAUGUUUGAACUCGUUCCAGAUUCCUGGAUUUACUUUUUUUUUCUACCAGGAAGAAUGCUCGAUUAGACUGCAUUUUGCUCUGCUUUUCUUUUUCUUUCUUUCUUUCUUCCCUUUCUUUUUCUUUUUCUCUCUUUCUUUCCGCCAGAAGAUUGGAAACAAUAUUCUUUUCCGAUCAGUUCAGUAAUACAAUGUCCUUCAGUGUCCACAUGAGCGUUUCAGUGAAGAAGAAAAGAAACUUUGCUACCUGGGAACUGAAGACUACUUAGAUCAGUGAAUGCUAAUAAAGUCCUUAAGGACUUGCGGAGCCAGGAGUUAACUUUUCUCAACUAUUAAGUGAAGAUGCUGGUGUUCCACAUCCAAUUGCUCUCGUCUUUCCAAGACUGUGGCACUCCAGGAAAUCUUCCCUACUGAAGGGGGACCACGAGCUACAGUAUCUCUUAGAUGAAAUCAACCGCAUUGCAAACUAAAAGGAAGAAAAGUAACAAAGAACUUGAAGACUUUCAUGACUCCCAGGCCCUGGAUGGAGGCAGGCGGCACCAGACAGACAGAACCAAGAAAUCAGAGGGGCAGCCAGGAGGUGCCUGUGGCUGCAGAGCCCAGAAUUGUCUUUGGAAAAGAUUGAGAAGAGCCAGUAAACUUGGCUUCCUAACUUCUGCUUCUCAUGUGAGUAUAAUUUAUAUUUCUAUUAUGCAAGUGUCAUUAAGGCAGCGUAGUUCCCCAGGUUUCUGUGGCAGAACUGCCUUGUUUGAUCUUUGUGAUGCUGGCACUCUUUUAGAAUUAACCACAGAAAACCCUGAUGACACUUCGUGCUUCUUAUAA
rnacentral:lncRNA from 1 species